CUGGUACAUCACACGUGUUUGCGACUUUCGGUCCGAAUCGUCUAGAGGUUAGGACAACACGUUGUGGCCGUGUAAACCCAGGUUCGAUUCCUGGUUCGGACAGCUUUUCUAUUUGCUUUGCCAUCAAAUGCUCAACUCUUUCACGUCAACUUCGUAAUAUUUUGUUGGGUGUUUUUGUUUUUAUUGUUGUCAAUGAUCGCUGGGAGUGGGGCAAUUGUGUUGCACCUGUAGGGCGAUUUUUCAGCCGGUGUCUUGUGCAGUUGCUUUCACUCGAGAUCUAUCUUCUUUCGCGACUUUCCUACGGGAAAGCAUAUCCUUUUGGAAUCCUUAAAGCUUCACACAGAUUUUUUUUGACGGCAAACUCAUGGAGACUUAUGGGCCAGCUCGUCUGGCCUUGGAGUGUGACUGCCUAUCCAGAGCGCGUAACGCGUGAUUUUUGUCAGCCUCACAAUAGGGUUCCUCAGAUCCUUCAGGGGGAGGCUUUUCUUUUGCCACGACUCCGUCAUUCCCCUUCGCCGCUUCAUGUGCAUAACCAGAUGAAAUCAACGAGCGUAGCACGUUCUGGUGGUCCUCAUUCGUGAUAGACCGUUGCGUAAUACAUCACGUCGAAACGAGCGGAAUCAACCUCCACCCGAAACAUCUCGCCAUUCGCGCUCGCGUGAACAAGAGAGUGAUGGCGACUGUUGCCUUGCCGUGCCUCGAUGUAUCAUGGCGCCGUUCCACGUGGACUCACGAGAGAUCGCGAGUUGCACGUGUUUCCUGUUUCUCUAAAACUGCAACAACGGCGUUGGAGGGGUCUGCCUGGCGGAACGGUGGGGCUAGCAUUAUUGCAGCGCUUAUUCGGGUAUGCACUUCACCUACUUUCACAGCUAUAUUUGCGAUGAUCCUAUUGCGGUUUUGAUCCACAUCUGCAUGCCGAUGUCUGAACACUCGAGGCGAUCUGAGGAUUGGAAUCUUAGGUCGCAGGGUCGACGCAAACACGCACGUCACUGCCUGCAACAGUGGAGGUUCUGUGUGAUAAGGAAGAUCAUGG
rnacentral:tRNA from 1 species